UAGGGAAUCUUCCACAGUGGGCGCAAGCCUGAUGGAGCAACGCCGCGUGUGUGAUGAAGGCUUUCGGGUCGUAAAGCACUGUUGUAUGGGAAGAAAUGCUAGAAUAGGGAAUGAUUCUAGUUCGACGGUACCAUACCAGAAAGGGACGGCUAAAUACGUGCCAA
rnacentral:rRNA from 1 species